CAGUCGCCACGGUAAUACGUAGGUCCCGAGCGUUGUCCGGAUUUAUUGGGCGUAAAGGGAGCGCAGGCGGUUUAGUAAGUCAGAAGUUAAAGGCAUUGGCUCAACCAAUGUAUGCUUUGGAAACUGUUAGACUUGAGUGCAGAAGGGGAGAGUGGAAUUCCAUGUGUAGCGGUGAAAUGCGUAGAUAUAUGGAGGAACACCGGUGGCGAAAGCGGCUCCCUGGUCUGUAACUGACGCUGAGGCUCGAAAGCGUGGGGAGCAAACAGGAUUAGAUACCCCUGUAGUCCCUGUCUCUUAUACC
rnacentral:rRNA from 1 species